GUACUUGCUUUGGCAUACAUAUACUAAAAUUGGAACGAUAAAAGAAAAUUUUGCAUGGGCCCCCGCGCAAGGAACCCGCAAAAUCGUGAACGUUUCCCCAUUUUU